rnacentral:rRNA from 1 species
UACGUAGGGACCUAGCGUUGUCCGGAAUCAUUGGGCGUAAAGCGCGCGUAGGCGGCCCGGUAAGUCCGUUGUAAAAGUCAAAGGCUCAACCUUUGAAUGCCGAUGGAUACUGCCGGGCUAGAGUCCGGAAGAGGCGAGUAGAAUUCCUGGUGUAGCGGUGGAAUGCGCAGAUAUCAGGAGGAACACCGGUGGCGAAGGCGGGUCUCUGGGCCGUAACUGACGCUGAGGAGCGAAAGCGUGGGGAGCGAACAGG